rnacentral:piRNA from 1 species
UGGGUGGUGAAUAGGUUCUCUCCUUGCCUUC